UGAUAUGGUUAAGAGCUAAUUGAUUGGACGUUACCCACAGAAGAAGCACCGGCUAACUCCGUGCCAGCAGCCGCGGUAAUACGGAGGGUGCAAGCGUUAAUCGGAAUUACUGGGCGUAAAGAGUGCGUAGGUGGUUUAAUAAGUUAUCUGUGAAAUCCCUGGGCUCAACCUGGGCAGGUCAGAUAAUACUGUUAGACUCGAGUAUGGGAGAGGGUAGUGGAAUUUCCGGUGUAGCGGUGAAAUGCGUAGAGAUCGGAAGGAACACCAGUGGCGAAGGCGGCUACCUGGCCUAAUACUGACACUGAGGCACGAAAGCGUGGGGAGCAAACCAGGAUUAGAUACCCUGGUAGUCCACGCUGUAAACGAUGUCAACUAGCUGUUGGUUAUAUAAAAAUAAUUAGUUGGCGCAGCAAACGCGAUAAGUAGACAUAG
rnacentral:rRNA from 1 species